rnacentral:tRNA from 1 species
UGGGGUGUAGCUCAGUGGUAGAGCACAUGCUUAGCAUGCACAAGGUCCUGGUUCAAUCCCCAGUACCUCCA